GACCGCCGUUGUUGCGGCGGCGGUCUCGAGUCCACAAAACACACUGUUUCCCUCGGUCUCAGUAAAUAAGUGAUAAUUAAUUACUGUAUAUAAUGGAAACUAAUUACAGUAUAUAUUGGAAGCUAAUUAUAGCCUUCCCUUGCAACGUUGAAGUUUUUCAGGUAGUUCAUGGCAGUUUAUUAUAGAUUCUCCCUACACCGGACCUCUUUAGGUAUCAAUUUGAUAUCCAACGGUCUCUUUAAAUAGAUCCAACAUUUUUGAACCAAUAAGUCCCAGCAUAGUUUGACGUUAUUGUGAGAUGAAAAGUUAAACACAACAAAUACUGAUUGGGCAAAAAUGUAGGAUACAAUUAAACAGUGUCUUGAGUGUGGGGUUCCAACGAUGAACAAUAAUUUUGAGGGAUUUGUACGGUCAAACUACGUUGUUAUAUUUUUUAGGUAGUUUAAUCCUGUAAUCCCUCUAAUUAAACAGUUUUUUCAAAUACAUGGUAAGAGCAUGUCCUGUU
rnacentral:lncRNA from 1 species